UGAACAACUUCCAUCAACACAGUAUUCACUUCUAAAAGACAGAGGAUACAAGCAUAAAAAUUGUUUGGAGAUCAAGAAGAGCAAACAUGUAAUAGCCAUCACAGCCUAAAUGUGCAAAGGCAGAAAACAAGUGACUCUCUUGCACUGCUUCUAGAACAA